rnacentral:rRNA from 1 species
UGCGUAGGCGGCUUCUUAAGUCUGGUGUGAAAGCCCAGGGCUCAGCUCUGGAAGUGCAUUAGAAACUGAGAAGCUUGAGUACCGGAUGGGAGAGUGGAAUUCCUGGUGUAGCGGUGAAAUGCGUAGAUAUCAGGAGGAAUACCGGUGGCGAAAGCGACUCUCUGGACGGUUACUGACGCUGAGGCACGAAAGCGUGGGGAGCAAACA